AUAAGACUCUCGGCAACGGAUGUCUAGGCCCUCGCAAUGAUGAAGAUCGUAGCAAAAUGCGAUACUUGGUGUG
rnacentral:rRNA from 1 species